rnacentral:rRNA from 1 species
GACGAACGCUGGCGGCGUGCUUAACACAUGCAAGUCGAACGGAAAGGCCCUGCUUUUGUGGGGUGCUCGAGUGGCGAACGGGUGAGUAACACGUGAGUAACCUGCCCUUGACUUUGGGAUAACAUCAGGAAACUGGGGCUAAUACCGGAUAGGAGCUCCUGCUGCAUGGUGGGGGUUGGAAAGUUUCGGCGGUUGGGGAUGGACUCGCGGCUUAUCAGCUUGUUGGGCGGGUAGUGGCUGACAAAGGCUUUGACGGGUAGCAGGCCUGAGAGGGUGAACGGCCACAUUGGGACUGCGAUACGGCCCAGACUCCUACGGGAGGCAGCAGUGGGGAAUCUUACACAGUGGGCGGAAGCCUGAUGCGGCGGCGCCGCGUUCGGGAUGCUGGCCUUCGGGUUGUAAACCGCUUUCGCCUUUGACGAAGCGUGAGUGACGGUAAUGGGUAAAGAAGCACCGGCUAACUACGUG